GAUGAACGCUGGCGGCGUGCCUAAUACAUGCAAGUCGAGCGAACGGACGAGAAGCUUGCUUCUCUGAUGUUAGCGGCGGACGGGUGAGUAACACGUGGAUAACCUACCUAUAAGACUGGGAUAACUUCGGGAAACCGUAGCUAAUACCGGAUAAUAUUUUGAACCGCAUGGUUCAAAAGUGAAAGACGGUCUUGCUGUCACUUAUAGAUGGAUCCGCGCUGCAUUAGCUAGUUGGUAAGGUAACGGCUUACCAAGGCAACGAUGCAUAGCCGACCUGAGAGGGUGAACGGCCACACUGGGAGUGAGAGACGGUACAGAGUCCUACGGGAGGCAGAGGUAGGGAAUCGUCCGAGAUGGGCGAAAGCCUGACGGAGCAACGCAGGGUGAGUGAUGAAGGUCUUCGGAUCGUAAAACGCUGUUAUUAGGGAAGAACACAUGUGUAAGUAACUGUGCUCAGCGUGACGGUACCUAAUCAGAAAGCAACGGCUAACUACGUG
rnacentral:rRNA from 1 species